CAAUCUCUCUCUCUCUCAACAACUUUCAUCUCUCUUUGAUACUGUGUCAUGUGAGGUGUUUCAUCUAUCCUUCAAAUCAGAGGCUCUCAUGUUGGUGGUGGUGCUCUCUUAUAACUAACCAAAGCCCUAGAGAAAAAGAAAAUGGAAGAGGCAGAUUUUUUGCCCGAGCAAAUGCUGGUUGUAGACACAAUGAAAAUCAUCAACGUAGUUGCAAAUUCUGUUGCUGCACCACAAGGCUGAUCUCAACAAUCCAGUGAUGGUGCUCUUUCCAUAUGAUCUCAACAAUCAUCAUACAUGCAUAAUUUUUAAUUUUAUUUUUCAUUUUGGGGAUUGGCAAAAUACAAUCUAAGGCAGCUCACUUCAUCGAAACCAUAGCUUCUUCCACUAUUUUGAGUUUGGAUAUAUAGGGAGAGUUGCUUUGUAGUUUUCCUAUGUUAUAUCUAACUGGUUGUAGAUUCAAGAUUCUGAUGAAAAUUCAUUGUCUAAUCGUUUGUGGAUUCAAGAUUUUGAUGACAUUUCGAGGUUGAAAUAUAACGUGCAAAAUUGUGAACCAAUAAUUUAACAAGUGAAAUGCCAUUAACUUCAGACGCGUCAUUACACGCACAACUGUAGUAAAUCUAGACACAAUUGGUUGAUAAAAAUACAACACGCGGAG